GAUGAAGACCGCUGCUAACAACAAUGGAGAGAGAAUGGCAUGCAAAGAUGGUCAUCAAAAUUGUCAAGGCUGGGCG
rnacentral:rRNA from 1 species